UUAACUACAAGGACUGUAUGGUGAUAUUUAUAACAGAGAUAAGAGGCUGGACACUGUACACAAUGCGGAGGAGACCGACGAAAGUUUUUCGUCAUGCUAGAACGACCGAAGACAAAAAGUGCCGCGUUAUUCGGAGAAUCGAGUUAUCGUUGUCCCAGUUUUACAACCGCCCCCGUUUCAACAAGGGGUAGCGGAGCAAUUAAUGGGAUCGAAAAAUCGAUCGAUUUUAUGGUCUGACUUCUACGAAUCUCCAUGUCAAUUGGAACUCAAAUUGAAGAAUAAAAUUCAAUUCAUGAUGUUGCUUGUUUAUGUUGAACGUAAUAGGCUUCUCAAUGUAUGAGAACGACGACGUUGACACACGUACAGGCAGCCUCGUAAAUAACAAUUGUAAAGUAUUAGAAGAUCAGUCGAGAGCCUUAUGACAGUGGAAUGGAAAAUAUAGAAGUAAAAUGGCAAACAAUCGUAGAAAAUAAAGAAAAAUGCAUCACCGAUCGAUUGCUAG
rnacentral:misc_RNA from 1 species